GACGAACGCUGGCGGCGUGCUUAACACAUGCAAGUCGAACGGAAAGGCCUGCUUUCCCUUGUGGAUUUCGUGUCCUCGAGUGGCGAACGGAUGAGUAACACGUGUGCGAUCUGCCCCCAACUUGCGUAUAAGCCUGGGAAACUGGGUCUAAUUCCCGUUAGGACUGCAGGGUGGAGCCGGUGGUGGCAAACGAUCUUCUAGUGGUUGGGGAUGAGCUCGCGGCCUAUCAGCUUGUUGGUGGGGUAAUGGCCUACCAAGGCGGCGACGGGUAGCCGGCCUGGGAGGGUGGACGGCCACAUUGGGACUGAGAUACGGCCCAGACUCCUACGGGAGGCAGCAGUGGGGAAUAUUGCACAAUGGGCGGAAGCCUGAUGCAGCGACGCCGCGUGGGGGAUGACGGCCUCCGGGUUGUAAACUCCUUUCGACCGCGAGGAAGCCACCUGGUUGGAAGGGUGGUGACGGUAGUGGUAGAAGAAGCACCGGCUAACUACGUG
rnacentral:rRNA from 1 species